CCCAUCGAAGCACAAACCUCGAAGUUAUGUCUCCGUCUCCGUGUGAGUUUGUGUUAUGUGUUCAGCAUCAUAGCAAGACAGUGAUCGGCCAUCAGAUAUGAGUUGAGGAAGAUCGUCUUCUUCGCGAUUCCUUGCUGUGCGAGCUUUCUUUGUUGGCUGUUUGCUCUGGAUUGAUGAAUUGAAGAGAGCGAUCAUGAAAACUGGUUGAUGUCGUUGGAAGGCAUUCUCGGUGGGAUGUUCGACGUUUUCACGAACGGAGGAGCGGAGGAACUUGUUUUGAAAUGAUUAUGGCCAUGUUCUGCAUGGACGUUAUCGCGACACGAGGGCUGUAGCAUUACACCGAGAGCAUCUGCCGAGCCGCACUAAAGCCAAGCGCAUCACCGCUGUAA